CAAAAAGAGUUCAUCUCCUCUCCUCUUUCCCCAGUUGAAAGUCCCGAGUUAUCUCGAAUCUUCGGGAAAUUGAGAUCCUAAUUUAGCUGAUUCCUUAUUUCCCAAGAAGUUGUAGAAAUCAUCCAUGGCUGGAGGAGGAAACUUUAUUCAUAGGGUUAUUUUUUAUGUAGCCAACGAAUUGAUCGUUAAUGGACUCGCCAACAGCCCUGGUUUCCAAAGAUUUGCAGUAAGGACCUCGAGAAGAAUGGAGGAUCUAUCUAAAAUGGCUGAGCAAAAGAAGAGAGAAGUUGCUGACCUGAUCAAGGAUGUGUCCAAAAACUCCGAGUCUUUCAAGAACCAGUGAUUUGGAAGGAAGGUGUGAGGAUGUACAUAGUUGCUUUUUCUUUUUCCGCUCCCAUACUAAUAUGAUGAAGAAAAUCGAGUCCUCAUAGCUGUGUGAUUACAAGAUCUCAAGGAUAAUUGCAGUUCUGUGAUGGGGCUGUUGUUGCAUACGGCGGUGUGGAAGUGAUCAUGGUAGUAACACUAUAAUAUUAUUGCAUUUUAGUGUUAUUUGCUUUUGCAUGUUUGUCACUUUUGUGAUGUCUCAACAGAACUCGCUUGGAUCUCCUGUAAGGGAUUAGAUUGUCAAUUUUGAAUAAUGUCUCUAUACAGUAUGAGAAAUUAGUGCACUUCUUCCCUUAUGAUAUGAACUUUGAAUUUAUUGUCAAAGCUUACAGGA